CCGAGUUCAUGCCCUUCGGGGUAGAUCUCCCACCCUUUGUAUACUAUACCUUUGUUGCUUUGGCGGGCCGCCUAGCUACUGGCUUCGGCUGGUAAGUGCCCGCCAGAGAACCCUAAACUCUUGUUUACAGUGUCGUCUGAGUACUAUAUAAUAGUUA
rnacentral:misc_RNA from 1 species